rnacentral:rRNA from 1 species
CGCCAGACUCCUACGGGAGGCAGCAGUGGGGAAUAUUGCACAAUGGGGGAAACCCUGAUGCAGCGACGCCGCGUGAAGGAAGAAGUAUUUCGGUAUGUAAACUUCUAUCAGCAGGGAAGAAAAUGACGGUACCUGACUAAGAAGCCCCGGCUAACUACGUGCCAGCAGCCGCGGUAAUACGUAGGGGGCAAGCGUUAUCCGGAUUUACUGGGUGUAAAGGGAGCGUAGACGGUCCUGCAAGCCAGAUGUGAAAGCCCGGGGCUCAACCCCGGGACUGCAUUUGGAACUGUAAGGCUAGAGUGUCGGAGAGGCAGGCGGAAUUCCUAGUGUAGCGGUGAAAUGCGUAGAUAUUAGGAGGAACACCAAUAGCGUAGGCAGGUUACUGGGACGGUUCUGACACUAAGGCACGAAAGCGUAGGGAGCAAACGGGAUUAGAUACCCCAGUACU